AUUCAAACACUGGCCACCAUCCCUGGUUUCCUUCUGGUUCAUGCCUGAAUAAGGUGAGUGGAAGUUGCUGGGAGAGGAGGUCUCUCUUCUGUGCUGUCUUCCUGAAGCCAUCUGUGGAGUCAAGCAGUCAUGGCUCAGGCACACUCUGAAGUUGGUCCCAGCACAUCUGCACGGAGCAUCAGGAGAAAGGCGGACGAAUACUUGAGACCCAGCCUGGCCUCUAAAUCUGUGCUGAGCGUUUUACUCAGUAGACAGCUUGGGAAUCAUAGAAACGAUGUGGAUCUGACAGAGUGGCUGUGGACACUGACACAAACCACACCAGGGUGGACCUGGCCUUUGCCAACACGCCAUACAAUCAACCCACCUUUGCACCCUGGGGAGGAUAGAAAAUCCAAGAAAAUGGUGUGGAUCAAUAAAUCCUUCCCCUGAUGCAACCAUUACAAA